rnacentral:lncRNA from 12 species
GAACAUUACAGCAUGAGCAUAUUAUUUUAAAAAAAGAGGGAAACAAGGUAUUCUCUUAGAUACAAAGGCUAAAUAAUGAUACCAUUCCUAUUAAAUAAAGAUAUGUCCAAAAUGGAAGUUAAGUAAAGAGAAUUUGGAGCAUAAUGGAAUUAGCAGCGAGAAAUAAAACCACUAAGAGAGCUUGUUGUUGAUAAAUUAAUAAUAACAAUUCUGGUCCAUAAUAAUGGAUUAGUUUAGAUCCAUUAAGAAGUAAACCAUAGGAGUAAUGCAAGAGGGGAAAUCCCUAACUUCCCUGACUUGUAACUCAACAUCAUAAUCUUAUGUGUCUACGAAAUCUAAAUCCAGUCCUUCUCUCUCUACAAUGUAUUUUAUUUGAUCUGUCAGUAGUUCUUUGAUCCUCAAAAAUUAAGGAAUAGUCUCAUGUUCCAAAAUAGCUUCCACCUUCUGUAACAGACAUGUAGGAGCAGGGUAGGUAGAACCAUAACAUGUGAGAUAUGUCAACUGGAUUGCUGAAUCUCUCUCUCAUACAAUGGCCCCUUUCAACAUGGUGGUUGUCCCUUUAAUACCUCUUCAAAAAACCAUGUGACAGAACGUAAAGACUGCUAACUCUGGGAAACGAACUAGGGGUGGUAGAAGGGGAGGAGGGCGGGGGGUGGGAGUGAAUGGGUGACGGGCACUGGGUGUUAUUCUGUAUGUUAGUAAAUUGAACACCAAUAAAAAAUAAAUUAAAAAAAAAACCAUGUGGUAGAAGGCUAAUGAUGCUAAAAGCACUUUCAGCUUCCUUCACAUAUAGAUGUUUUCUCAUAAGACCAUGUGUAUUUUUUUGUCAGUGGGUUUUCCUUUUAGGAAAAAAAUUCACAUACUUGUUUUUCUGCAUGGCUGUAAACUAUUUUCAAUGUUCACAAACUAUCCGAUAAUAUAUUUUUGAUAAUAAAUACAACCAGACACCAAAAGAGAAUUUGUAAAAUUAAGUUCAAUGGUUUAUUUUAUUUGUAAAUGCAUAGUGAUCUUUCGCUAUGUCCCAAGCACUGAACUUGUUGCCUUAGAUACAACUAUAAAAAUGAAAGGCAAGAUUUCUUGGGUAAUUCAUAGUGAAGUAGGGAUGACAGAUGUUAAGCCUGGGGCAGGUACUUUGAUGGGGAAGUACAGGAGAACAAACAACAGAAGUUCCAAACCAGUCUAACACUCCAAGAAAUGAUUCCUAAAAGUCAAUAUAUAAUUUAUAAUCUGAAGAAUGAAUAACAGGUACUGAAGAGAUUGCUGAAAGGAACAAUGCAUGGAAACUCUCUAAGCAAAAUAUCAGCACACCUGUUCCAAGAAAUUCAAGAAAACUUUAAUAUGUGUGGAGAACAGAAUAAAAGGGAAGAAAUCAAAAGGACA